UACGGAAGGUUCGGGCGUUAUCCGGAUUUAUUGGGUUUAAAGGGAGCGUAGGCCGUAGAUUAAGCGUGUUGUGAAAUGUAGAUGCUCAACAUCUGACUUGCAGCGCGAACUGGUUUACUAGAGUGUGCGCAACGUAGGCGGAAUUCGUCGUGUAGCGGUGAAAUGCUUAGAUAUGACGAAGAACUCCGAUUGCGAAGGCAGCUUACGGGAGCACAACUGACGCUGAAGCUCGAAGGUGCGGGUAUCAAACAGG
rnacentral:rRNA from 1 species